rnacentral:rRNA from 1 species
AACGCGAAGAACCUUACCUGGGCUCGAAAUGUAGAGGACUUAGUAAGAGAUUACUAAUCCCGAAAGGGUCUCUAUAUAGGUGCUGCAUGGCUGUCGUCAGCUCGUGCCGUGAGGUGUUUGGUUAAGUCCAGCAACGAGCGCAACCCUUAUCGUUAGUUGCCAACGCGUCAAGGCGGGAACUCUAACGAGACUGCCUAGGUUAACUAGGAGGAAGGUGAGGAUGACGUCAAGUCCGCAUGGCCUUUAUGUCCAGGGCUACACACGUGCUACAAUGGUCGGUACAGAAGGCAGCGAAACUGCAAAGUGGAGCAAAUCCUACAAAACCGAUCUCAGUUCAGAUUGCAGUCUGCAACUCGGCUGCAUGAAGUUGGAAUUGCUAGUAAUGGCGUGUCAGCAAUAACGCCGUGAAUACGUUCCCGGGCCUUGUACACACCGGCUAC